rnacentral:lncRNA from 1 species
CAAUCAGAUUCAACAGAGUUCUUUUUUGGCUUCAUUUCUCACUUUGAUCAAAAUGACUUCUCAGCAUGCAUGUUCUUACACACACACACACACACACACACACACACACACAACAUACCUACCUCUCUGAUAUAUGCUUCCUAUUAAUUUCUGCCUAGAAAACUCUUACUCAUCCUCUAAUACCCAUCUCAGAUAUAUCUCUUGUUUUAACCCUUCCUUAAUGUCUCUGGUAGAAUGUGUUAUCCAAUAACCCUCCCUGUCCCCCGACCCCACUCAACCCCAAUGAUCAGAGAACAUAUUCCUGUUAAAUCACCUAUUUUACUGAAAUUAUUUCAUUUGUCUCUCUCACUUUUUAGAAUGGAAUCUUCAUAAGGCCUGAGAUGCUAUUUAUUUAGCUCUGAAAAAACUAGCCUUGCAUACAAGUCUUGUCAUAAUAAGUCCUAAUGAAUAGUUGAUUGACUGAAUGAACGGAUCUUCACUUGUGGAUUUUGCACAACCUACAGUUGUGGGUGCCAACUCAAUGUGCAGAGUUGGAAGCUGUUUGUAGCUCUGCCAGUCAGUUUUAUGUUCUGCCAGCACAUUCUUGGUUGUUGUACAUUCCCCACUGAUAGGAUUUUACCCAACAGUACUUGGCUUGAUUACAGUGUUCAAAAUUGUUUUUCACCAUGUCUGGGUUUUUUUCCCCUACUCGACUUCAUUCUCUCAGUUUCUGUACAGCAGGCUUCUGGGACAUCCUGUUGUUACCCAUUCCCCUCCUGUACCUCGCCCAUCCAAGUAACUUUGUGAGGAAAGGCUGGGAGACUGGCCAAUUUCCAGCAUCUUGUUGCUGGUGAUCCUGUAUUACUGUAGGCAUAUAAGUGGUGAACCUGGGCAUGCUGCCAUGGCUAGCAGUGAAGGUGAAUGCAUUCCGGUGCCAAUAAGGGCUAAGGCAUGGAAGUAAAUCCAUGCAGAAUUGACUUUGUCAGUGCUUUCUAGUAAAGGAGGAG